UGGUGGUUCAGUGGUAGAAUUCUCGCCUG
rnacentral:piRNA from 8 species